GUUUCUGUAGUGUAGUGGUUGUCAUGCCUUCUUCACACGCGAGAGGUCCCUGGUUCGAAACCGGGCGGGAACA
rnacentral:tRNA from 1 species